GGUAGAGCACAACCUUGCCAAGGUUGGGGUCGGGCGUUCGAAUCGCCUCGCCCGCUCCA
rnacentral:tRNA from 1 species